GCACCACACACAAAUUAAACUAAAACUGAGAUAUAUAAUCUAUAUAUACCUAGCUUAGCUACUACAGUACAGUUCAAUUAUAAUGCACAACAAAAUUUUAAGAUUGGACAGCUUAUUCAUACAAAUUCCAAAAGACUAUUGAAAUUUAAAGAAUAAUUCCUAAAAUUUGAAUAAUGUGCGGUAAAGAGGGCCUUUUCACAUACUCUCUGG
rnacentral:lncRNA from 1 species